AAAUUUUAGUAUAAUUUAGUAUAGUUUAUUGUCAAUAGACAGGUUAAAAUUUUAU
rnacentral:tRNA from 1 species